AGUAGGGAAUCUUCCGCAAUGGACGAAAGUCUGACGGAGCAACGCCGCGUGAGCGAAGAAGGUCUUCGGAUUGUAAAGCUCUGUUGUUAGGGAAGAACAAGUACCGUUCGAAGAGGGCGGUACCGUGACGGUACCUAACGAGAAAGCCACGGCUAACUACGUGCCAGCAGCCGCGGUAAUACGUAGGUGGCAAGCGUUGUCCGGAAUUAUUGGGCGUAAAGCGCGCGCAGGCGGUUCCUUAAGUCUGAUGUGAAAGCCCACGGCUCAACCGUGGAGGGUCAUUGGAAACUGGGGAACUUGAGUGCAGAAGAGGAGAGUGGAAUUCCACGUGUAGCGGUGAAAUGCGUAGAGAUGUGGAGGAACACCAGUGGCGAAGGCGGCUCUCUGGUCUGUAACUGACGCUGAGGCGCGAAAGCGUGGGGAGCAAA
rnacentral:rRNA from 1 species